UCGACAACAUCGAUGAGAAAUUUUUUUUCGGUGCGCAGUCACUAGUCGUACGUAUACACGCGUUUUCCUACGGUUUUCCUCUAGUUUUCCACUGUGGUUGUGUUAAGUAAGUGUAGCGAGGGGUGUUGUCGGACUAAUGCGAGGGUUUUUCUAUUUGGAUUUAAUGCGGUAUUACCAGAGGUGACGCAAAUGUUGAAGGUUCCAUGGUAUCGCGUAUAUUGCUUAUGGAAAGGACAAAAAAAUAUGUUAAUAUCCUGAAACGAGGCUGUCACAUAGACUGACUUCGCCCGUUCUUAGGACAAAUCCUUCUACCAAAAAAUGUCCUAAUAUGGGUCAGCAGUCUUGGAUGCUGGUGCGCAUGGCUACAAUAUUUUUUGUGACUAAUCAAACUUUAGCUCUAUCCGAUAUAUUUGAAGAAGGUAAAUCCGACAAAGAAAUUUUGGACAACCUUCUUAAAGCAACACGUUACGACAAGAGGCUUUUACCGCCUGUUAGAGAGUCUUUGACAGUUAACGUAAGUGUUUUACUUCUGAGUUUGGCAUCUCCGGAUGAGUCGAGUUUGAAAUAUGAAGUAGAGUUUUUAUUGCAACAGCAAUGGUACGAUCCAAGAUUGAAAUAUUCUAAUCAAAGCCAAUACGACUAUUUAAAUGCCAUUCACCACCACAGCGAUAUCUGGAUUCCCGAUACCUAUUUCAUUAUGCACGGGGAUUUCAAAGACCCAAUUAUACCGAUGCAUUUCUCGCUGAGGAUAUACAGAAAUGGAAGUGUAAACUAUCUUAUGAGGAGACAUUUAAUUUUAUCCUGUCAAGGAAGUUUAAAUAUUUUUCCCUUCGACGACCCAACGUGUACAUUUUCAAUGGAAAGUAUAUCUUAUGAGAUGACGGCAAUCAAGUACGUUUGGAAAAACGACGAAGACGUUUUACGCAAAUCCCCAAGCUUGAUGACUUUGAAUGCUUACCUCAUAAAUAAUUCAACAUUAGUGUGCCCAAUCAAAUCUAGUUGGAGAGGGAACUAUAGUUGUUUAAUGGUAGAAUUAAUAUUUACGAGAGAUCGAGCUUUUUACUUCACAACAGUAUUUAUACCAGGUAUAAUAUUGGUUACGUCUUCGUUUAUCACGUUCUGGCUAGAAUGGAAUGCUGUACCUGCCAGAGUAAUGAUUGGUGUAACAACAAUGCUCAAUUUUUUCACAACUUCAAACGGUUUUCGUUCAACAUUACCUGUAGUAUCGAAUUUAACAGCAAUGAACGUUUGGGACGGGGUCUGUAUGUGUUUCAUAUACGCUUCCCUUUUAGAAUUCGUAUGUGUUAAUUACGUCGGAAGAAAAAGGCCGUUACAUAAUAUCGUUUAUAGACCAGCAGAAAAUAUUUUAACGCAGCAGAACAACAAAAAAAGAGAUUCAAUGGUUCCUAACGAAAUUAUCACGUGCACCAAUUGCGGACCAAAUCCAUGUACACACACUGCAAAUAACGGAUGUCCAGAGGUGUCUUUUUUACAGGUCAGGAAAAAAGAGCCUCCGCAUCCUAUACGAGUAGCAAAGACCAUAGACGUCAUAGCGAGAAUUACAUUUCCAACAGCCUUCGCAAUUUUUCUUAUAUUUUUCUUUUAUCACUACAAGAGCUUCACCAACAUCACGCAUGAGGAUUAAAUUUUAAUUAAGAUUAAAUGGACAUUUUCCAUUUAUGCUUGUAUGUAAUAAACUACUGGAUUAUCAACGCAAUUCUUACCGAUUACCGAUUCUUACGAUUCUUAACAUCGUAUAAUAAUGAAAUAGGAGAAUUUAAUAAUUAUUCUUUUUACCAAAAAUCCUACAAGUGAUUUGAAAGUUGAAGAAACAUAAUAGAAAAUGUCCAGCCAAUUACUUUAUUAAAAUUAAAUAGUUAUAGUUCAUAUUGAAACUUUGUUAAGCAAUUGUGAUAAGCUAAGGCCCGAUCGCCUAUAUUAUUUAUUGUAUAAAGUGUUACCUGUUGUUUUUGAAACAAGCAAAUGAUAGGAUCAUUGAGGAUAAAUGAAAUAUUUUUUAAUGCGGGGGUCAUCGGAAAAGGUAUUUAUCGUGAUUUGGUUCUGUGAGUGCUCGAGAAAUAAAAUUAUAAAAACGAAAUCAUAAAGAGAUCGAGCAUCAUAUACUGAACACACUAUUCAAUAACACACCAAUAAUCACAAUAAUAUGGUAAGUACAUUGACUGCGUGCGUUUCAUCAAAAAAGGUGAAUAUGUAUGUUAAUUGUAGUAAACAGUAUGACCAACAAAUCUAAAAAGUCAAAGCGAAAUUUUCGUUUCAAAAUAUUGAGAGGAAAUUACACUUACACUUAAAAGUGUAGCUGGUCAAUCAACAUGAAUACAGUACAGCAGACAGCGCAGUUUACCUUUAUAUAUGAUCGGAGAUUGAUUUUAGGUCUCUUCUGAUUUAAAAUUAGGUUUUUUUUUCUCUUAUUUUUAACGAAAAGGUGAAAAUUUCACGUUGAGGUCUUUAUCAAAAUAUGACUUGACACUGACAAUUUUCUUUUACGUGUAGUAGAUUCCGUUGCAAAAAUUUUCGAAUCUUUAUAAUUUUUUUUAUAUUUUCUCAUACAGUUUCAAGAAACUUCUUCAUUUCCGUCGGGCAAUUAAGUGUCUCCUUGAGGUUGGUUUUCAUAUCAAACUGCUGGUAUGCGGUAGAAGUCGGUGUGCUUAACCGACACAGGAACGUUACAACUUUGGCAGAUAGGACGACUUUCUGACCACAAAUAGCCGUGAGGUUGACGCGGAGACUUCUUAUUGUCACAGCUUCUCUCCUAUUCAGAAAGUUUAGUGGAUAGAUGUUAUGUAAUGCAGCAGUACUCUAGCUCAAUAUAUAGCGCCAAGAUUUUUGAAAGGGUUUUUUGGAGUUAGUCUUCAGAUCAUUGGCAAGCUGAACUGGGAUUUCGGGAGGAUUCUUUGUGGUUUCUUUGGCAUGGCAAUCUGUAGAUUCGUUUUCAGCAAUUCCAGUGUGCGAUUGAAGCCAGAUGAGAAAGACUGUUAUCAAGAACAAUGAGAGUUUGGUAGAUGUCGUGAAUGUUUUGGACUAUUGGAUGGUCGGUGAAUAUGGUUGUAUGGAGUGAUAAAUUUGAAAGCUACUGUAUAAUUUACCAGUGUAAACACUACACGUGGAGGUUAAUCGGAAAGAACUUAUGAGUUCGUGGUUUGUAGUGACUACGCAAUAGACACCGGAUUCAGCUUUAGAUGCAUCCGUAUAGAGAAUUACGUCGAAGGAUUUUUAUACAAAAUUUUUGUAAUCGAAUUUAUGUUGUUUUGGUAUUUCGUGGUUCGUUAAUGCAGUUUUUUUAUCGUAUUCAUGACCUUUUAGUCUAUUUUCUAAAUACUGAGAUGUCUGCCCUAUAUAGACAGCUCACAAUCAGUACAAGGUACUUGAUAUAUAAUAUUAAUACUUUUGUUUUUGGGAGUUUUAGAUACAAAUCCUUUAAAUUUUUAAAUUUAUGUUAUGGAGGCCUAAUCGUUGAAGAAGUAAAUAGAUUUUCUGAACAUUAAACUUGGAAGGAAAUUUGAGAUAUUCUCCGCUUAGUUUGAUUUAAAAAUAAGUAUUUUCCUUUUUUGAUACUAUUUUUAUUUCGUUCCAAAAUCCCGGAUACCUUUUUCAAUAACCUUGUAUAAUAACUAAAAACACUUGCCAAUUUCGAAGUCACACAUAAUAUUUUGAUAUUUUAUUAGACAUUCAGUUUGUAUUCUAAAAGUUUUAUCAAAAUCUCAUAAAACACACAGUCCAACGAUAUUCUAAAAUAAUACUGACCCAGAUCAUUUUUAAUUACUGCAAAUAUUGUAAUUAAAUAAAACAUGACAAUGAAAUAUUUGAUGAAAAAUCAAGUCAUUUAUUGUAAAACUAUCUAAUGAAGAUAAUAAAUUUGAAAAUAUAGUGCUAAAACCUCAAAAAACAAAUUAAGAAAUGAAGAAUUCUUCAACCCCAAAACAAUAAAAAAAAAAUGAAAACGACAAUAGAUCUUUGAAACCAAUAAUAAAACAAAACACUGUGGUACAUAGUUAUGCCCAGUGUAUUAUGGAGUGGUGCUAUAAGAAGACGUAUUUCAAGAUUUAUAUGGCACAAAAAAGCUAAAAAAUGAUUUGGUACAAAUGUUUUGACAUAAUACAAUUCCUUGGCGGGAAUUCCAAGGAGUUCUUUACCGCUGGAAUUAAUUUUCGCGGGAGAAGUUUUAUUGGUGGAAAAAUUUAGUAUAAAACAGGUAAGUCAAGUUAAUAGGUUUCAGUUUACCUUCAGUCUCUGAAGACGAUAACUUGGUUAUCGAAACAUGCGUCAGAGAGUGAGUGUUGGUAUGAACAGUGUAAUCAGUAUGAAAAUCACGGUUCCAGCAAUUCUAACUUAGAUGGAAUGAGGUGACAAAGAGAAGAUUCAUUGAAACAUGCAGUAGAAAAGAGAACCAAGCGGUAAGAGAAGACGACGACGAUUAGUUGCCUGCGGUUUCAGCUCGAUAGUUCCCCAGCUGCAAGAUUAUGAAACCAUCUAUGAAGUAUUGAAGUGUUUAAAAGCAUCACUGACUAGCGUGUCGGCAUUUUUAGGCUGACAUACGAGUUUUUUGUAAUCGAUACAUACAUUGUAAUCGAUACGAUACAUUGACCGUUUUUAUAUCUACUGGUUUAGUUUUUCGUUUAUGUGUAUGUUUUGCUAACGAUCAGAAUGACGCUCUGUUCUUGUUUAAAGAGGUCUAAAAAGUGUAUCGUAUUUUUACUAGAGUCAGUCGGUUAUUUGCUUUACUUGUAAACGUUCGAGUUACGAGUUUUAAUUAAAGUAUUCAGUUUUCACGAGUUUAUUAUUUACUUCACCUGAUCCACAAAAAUUCUACAACAGGUUAUGGGCCCAGGUGUGUAGUGGAAGUAAAUAAUUGUUCGGUUUUUUUUCGGUGUAACGGAAAAGUGAAGUGCGGGUGCGACUGAGUAAAAACUAAGUGCAUUCGGCUAUCGUUCGCCGGUCAAGUUUGCCAUAAUGGAAAUUGACAAACCGAAAAUAGAUAAACUGCGUGAUGCUGACAACUGGUCGCAGUGGCGGUUUGUGAUGCAAACGCUAUUGGACAGUGACGACUCGUUAGAAAUUUGUGAAGGGACAGAACAACGGCCAACUGAAGGAUUUACGGACUACCAGAAUAUACUUAAAAAAUGGAUCAAAAGAGAGAAACUUGCCCGUAAGUUGAUUGUCACAACAAUUGAAACAAAACCCUUGCAGUUAAUUAUGAAUUGUACAACGGCUCAUGAAAUGUGGUCAAAACUGCACAGUGUUUACGAUCUUAAAUCCGAAGAGAGCCUUGCGUUGGUACAAAAGCAAUUUUUUGAAUUUAAGUGGAGUCAUGAUGGUGGUAUUGCGCGUCACAUAUCAAGUCUUGAGCAGCUGGCAAACAAGAUGGAUAAGUUGGGUGGUAAGAUACCGGAAUCUAUGUUGAUAACGAGAAUACUCUCCACAUUACCACCUAAAUUCAACUUCUUUCACAGUGCUUGGAAUUCCACAGAACAAAGCAAACGUACUUUAGAAAAUUUGACAACAAGACUACUAACUGAAGAACUAAGAUUUGGCAGUCAAGAAAAUGUUGAAGAUGAGUCUAAAGUAGCGUUAGUUUCAGGAAAGUUUGCUGGAAAGAAAAAUCGUUUCGGGAAGUCAUCUUCAGCUGAUUCUGUGACGCGUUGUUCGUUAUGCCGCAAAAACAACCACACGUUUAAAGACUGUCGGGGUUGUUUUUCGUGUGGCUCCAAAAAACAUCUAUUAAAGGACUGUCCAAAUAAAAGUGAAGGCUCGUCAAGUAAAAAGAGAGAAGCCUUUGUUGGGAAUACUACCGGGAGUGGACAAAAUCAUUGGCUCAUUGAUUCUGGAGCUUCGCAGCAUAUGACAAAUCGACGGACCUGGUUUGUAAAUUUUAAAGAAUUUGCAAAACCAACUAUGGUUUAUGUAGGUAAUGGUGCCGCCGUGGAAGCUUUUGGAAGUGGUGACAUUGAUAUGGAGACAUUUGUGAACGGUGAGUGGUGCCCAGGAACAGAAGCAGUUGCUACCAUAGCUGGAGUUUCAGAUGAAGAUAGUGACCAAGAGGAAUUUGAGAUCCAGAGGUAGAAC